UACGUAGGUGGCAAGCGUUGUCCGGAUUCAUUGGGCGUAAAGGGUGCGUAGGCGGCGCGGUAAGUCGGGUGUGAAAUCUCGGAGCUUAACUCCGAAACUGCCCUUGAACCUGCAGUGCUAGAAUCCUGGAGAGGCGAGUGGAAUUCCGAGUGUAGAGGUAGAAAUUCGUAGAUAUUCGGAAAGAACACCAGUGGCGAGGCGACUCGCUGGACAGGUAUUGACGCUGAGGUGCGAAAGCGUGGGGAGCAAACAGG
rnacentral:rRNA from 1 species